AACCAUUUCUGUAUGACUUUAUGGGCAGCCAUGGAUCGUCCUGCAGGAUAACCAAUAGUAACUACCCAGAAAUUGUGUGUGUCCAAGUGUUUUAUGUUCAUAAAGAUCAGAAACUGAAAUAAUGAGCAUAAGGCGUCCUCAUAUGGAUUUUUGCUUCUGCUAGCAAGAUGGAACCCCUAAACAUAACCUUGAUGCUUUGUCUUGAAACAAAAAUCAGUAUUUUUGCUAUCUUUUGUGAGCUGUGAUGGAUCCUCAGCGAGAUUAGCUUAUGUGUGCUCAAAGGCACAGAGAACAUCAUGAUAAACAGCAAAUACUCUCCCUGGGAAGAAGUAGGCAAUGACUGUUGAAAUUGCACCUGCCUUUGCAUGCCUGUCAGACAACCCAAAGCUGCUGUUUCUGCCGGAGAAUUCAAAUUCAAGGAAGAAGGGAGCUCACAAGUGCAACAUGAUUUCAAGGUUUGCUGUCAUUCCUGCCCCCAG
rnacentral:lncRNA from 1 species